AGCACACACCUCAAAGGAAAAAAGAAAAAUUUGAAAAAAAAAGAAAAGUGAGAGUGAAAGAGAAAAUGGGUACUUCAAAUGCCAUAUUCUCUUCCAUUCUCUAUUGCUUCCUCCUAGCAACAUUUUCCUCUGCUGGCCCAUUCAUUUCUGAUGCCGUAUUAGAUUCUGGGGCAUCCACUGGACGUGCCCUCCUACAGGUUAAGAAAGCUUGUAAAGUUGACUUUGAGAACAAGAACUACACAAUCCUAACAAGCCAAUGCAAGGGACCCGCGUAUCCACCCGAUGUGUGCUGUAAUGCUUUCAAGCAAUUUGCAUGCCCUUUCACUGAUGAGAUUAAUGAUGUCACAACCGAUUGCAGUUAUGUGAUGUUUAGCUAUAUAAACGUCUAUGGCAAAUACCCCCCUGGCCUAUUUUCAAAUGAGUGCAAAGAAGGUGUCCAAGGUCUUGAUUGCACCCACAUCAAACAAAGCGAUGAGCAUGCUCCUUCAAACUCCAUCCAUGUGAUCACUCCUCUUCACUUUCUCUCACUUGUUGCUUUCCUUGGCUUCUUCUUCCAUUUUUUUUGAAGGCUCCAAAUGUCAAAGUUGAAGAUCCCCUUGUAUUAGUUCAAUCGAUUUUCUUGUUCAGAUUUUCCAAACAUUUUGGGUGAGCAUCAACAUGAGGUUGAAGAUGUUGGUGAUGAGGCAUAGCCCUCAAUGAUGGGUUGUGCUCUAAUAAGAUCUGACAUCAGAGCGUAGUUAGACGUAGUUAGGAUGUUGCUUCUAUUGAAUUAUUUUGGAAAACAUUAAUUUUAUUUCCUUGCAAUUUCAUUGGUUA